UCAUACGGAGGAUCCAAGCGUUAUCCGGAAUUACUGGGCGUAAAGAGUUGCGUAGGUGGCAAAGUAAGUCUGUAGUGAAAGCGUGCGGCUCAACCGCAUAAACAUUAUAGAAACUGCUUAGCUAGAAGAUGAGAGAGGUUAUUGGAAUUCCUAGUGUAGGAGUGAAAUCCGUAGAUAUUAGGAGGAACACCGAUGGCGUAGGCAGAUAACUGGCUCAUUCUUGACACUAAGGCACGAAAGCGUGGGUAGCAAACGGGAUUAGAUACCCCGGUAGUCCACGCCGUAAACUAUGGAUGCUAGCUGUUAUCAGUAUCGACCCUGGUAGUAGCGAAGCUAACGCGUUAAGCAUCCCGCCUGGGGAGUACGGUCGCAAGAUUA
rnacentral:rRNA from 1 species